rnacentral:misc_RNA from 1 species
GAUGAAGAACGUAGCGAAAUGCGAUACUUGGUGUGAAUUGCAGAAUCCCGUGAACCAUCGAGUCUUUGAACGCAAGUUGCGCCCGAAGCCAUCAGGUUGAGGGCACGUCUGCCUGGGCGUCACAUAUCGUUGCCCAAUGCCUAUUGCAGUGCAAUAGGAAUUUCUAGGGCGAAUGAUGGCUUCCCGUGAGCGUUGUUGCCUCGCGGUUGGUUGAAAAUCGAGUCCUUGGUAGGGUGUGCCAUGGUAGAUGGUGGUCGAGUUAGAACGAUACCGAUCAUGUGCAUGCUCCCCAAAAUAUGGCCUCUAUGACCCACACGCGUCUUUUGACGCUCAUGACGAGACCUCAGGUCAGGCCGGGCUACCCGCUGAAUUUAAGCAUAUCAAUAAGCGGAGGA